UCCACAACAAAACUGCUUCCUUUGCCCCACGCUCAGUUUUUGCCUAUCUCAGUAAAUGUUAUAGCAGCUUUUUAUGAAGUAAGCCAAAAUGACAGAAAUCAUCCUUGAUUUCUCUUUGCUCCCCAAAAUUAACUAAGGUCCUGACAAUCCUACUGAAACCCAAAUCUGUCCACUCCUCCUCAUCUACACUCCCUUAUUAUGCUAAGUUCUUUCUCAAAAUCACUAAUUUUGGGGGUGCCUGGGUGGCUCAGU